rnacentral:rRNA from 1 species
GACGAACGCUGGCGGCGUGCUUAACACAUGCAAGUCGUACGGUAAGGCCCUUUCGGGGGUACACGAGUGGCGAACGGGUGAGUAACACGUGAGUAACCUGCCCACAACUUUGGGAUAACGCUAGGAAACUGGUGCUAAUACUGGAUAUGUGCUCCUGCUGCAUGGUGGGGGUUGGAAAGCUCCGGCGGUUGUGGAUGGACUCGCGGCCCAUCAGCUUGUUGGUGGGGUAGUGGCCUACCAAGGCGGCGACGGGUAGCCGGCCUGAGAGGGUGACCGGCCACAUUGGGACUGAGAUACGGCCCAGACUCCUACGGGAGGCAGCAGUGGGGAAUAUUGCACAAUGGGCGCAAGCCUGAUGCAGCAACGCCGCGUGCGGGAUGACGGCCUUCGGGUUGUAAACCGCUUUCAGCAGGGACGAAGCUUUUUGUGACGGUACCUGCAGAAGAAGCACCGGCUAACUACGUG